rnacentral:rRNA from 1 species
AUGAACGCUAGCUACAGGCUUAACACAUGCAAGUCGAGGGGCAGCAUUUUAGUUUGCUUGCAAACUAAAGAUGGCGACCGGCGCACGGGUGAGUAACACGUAUCCAACCUGCCGAUAACUCGGGGAUAGCCUUUCGAAAGAAAGAUUAAUAUCCGAUGGUAUAUUAAAACCGCAUGGUUUUACUAUUAAAGAAUUUCGGUUAUCGAUGGGGAUGCGUUCCAUUAGUUUGUUGGCGGGGUAACGGCCCACCAAGACUACGAUGGAUAGGGGUUCUGAGAGGAAGGUCCCCCACAUUGGAACUGAGACACGGUCCAAACUCCUACGGGAGGCAGCAGUGAGGAAUAUUGGUCAAUGGACGAGAGUCUGAACCAGCCAAGUAGCGUGAAGGAUGACUGCCCUAUGGGUUGUAAACUUCUUUUAUAUGGGAAUAAAGUAUUCCACGUGUGGAAUUUUGUAUGUACCAUAUGAAUAAGGAUCGGCUAACUCCGUGCCAGCAGCCGCGGUAAUACGGAGGAUCCGAGCGUUAUCCGGAUUUAUUGGGUUUAAAGGGAGCGUAGGUGGAUUGUUAAGUCAGUUGUGAAAGUUUGCGGCUCAACCGUAAAAUUGCAGUUGAAACUGGCAGUCUUGAGUACAGUAGAGGUGGGCGGAAUUCGUGGUGUAGCGGUGAAAUGCUUAGAUAUCACGAAGAACUCCGAUUGCGAAGGCAGCUCACUAGACUGCAACUGACACUGAUGCUCGAAAGUGUGGGUAUCAAACAGGAUUAGAUACCCUGGUAGUCCACGCCGUAAACGAUGAAUACUAGGUGUUGGGUUCCAAAGGAACUCGGUGCCGUCGCAAACGCAUUAAGUAUUCCACCUGGGGAGUACGCCGGCAACGGUGAAACUCAAAGGAAUUGACGGGGGCCCGCACAAGCGGGGGAACAUGUGGUUUAAUUCGAUGAUACGCGAGGAACCUUACCCGGGCUUAAAUUGCAUUUGAAUAAUCUGGAAACAGGUUAGCCGCAAGGCAAAUGUGAAGGUGCUGCAUGGUUGUCGUCAGCUCGUGCCGUGAGGUGUCGGCUUAAGUGCCAUAACGAGCGCAACCCUUAUCUUUAGUUACUAACAGGUCAUGCUGAGGACUCUAGAGAGACUGCCGUCGUAAGAUGUGAGGAAGGUGGGGAUGACGUCAAAUCAGCACGGCCCUUACGUCCGGGGCUACACACGUGUUACAAUGGGGGGUACAGAAGGCAGCUACCUGGCGACAGGAUGCUAAUCCCAAAAACCUCUCUCAGUUCGGAUCGAAGUCUGCAACCCGACUUCGUGAAGCUGGAUUCGCUAGUAAUCGCGCAUCAGCCAUGGCGCGGUGAAUACGUUCCCGGGCCUUGUACACACCGCCCGUCAAGCCAUGAAAGCCGGGGGUACCUGAAGUACGUAACCGCAAGGAGCGUCCUAGGGUAAAACUGGUAAUUGGGGCU